rnacentral:rRNA from 1 species
AUUGAACGCUGGCGGCAGGCCUAACACAUGCAAGUCGAGCGGAUGAAGGGAGCUUGCUCCUGGAUUCAGCGGCGGACGGGUGAGUAAUGCCUAGGAAUCUGCCUGGUAGUGGGGGAUAACGUCCGGAAACGGGCGCUAAUACCGCAUACGUCCUGAGGGAGAAAGUGGGGGAUCUUCGGACCUCACGCUAUCAGAUGAGCCUAGGUCGGAUUAGCUAGUUGGUGGGGUAAAGGCUUACCAAGGCGACGAUCCGUAACUGGUCUGAGAGGAUGAUCAGUCACACUGGAACUGAGACACGGUCCAGACUCCUACGGGAGGCAGCAGUGGGGAAUAUUGGACAAUGGGCGAAAGCCUGAUCCAGCCAUGCCGCGUGUGUGAAGAAGGUCUUCGGAUUGUAAAGCACUUUAAGUUGGGAGGAAGGGCAGUAAGUUAAUACUUUGCUGUUUUGACGGUACCAACAGAAUAAGCACCGGCUAACUUCGUG